CUCAGUAACACGUGGAUAAUCUGCCCUUAGGUGGAGGAUAACCUCGGGAAACUGAGAAUAAUACUCCAUAGAUCUAGGAUGCUGGAAUGCACUUAGAUUGAAAGUUCCGACGCCUAAGGAUGAGUCUGCGGACUAUCAGGUAGUAGUCAGGGUAAAGGCCUGACUAGCCUACGACGGAUACGGGUUGUGAGAGCAAUAACCCGGAGACGAUAUCUGAGACACGAUAUCGGGCCCUACGGGGCGCAGCAGGCGCGAAACCUUCACAAUGUGCGAAAGCACGAUGAGGGGAUCCCAAGUGCUUGCUCGUAAGAGUAAGCUGUUUUUAUGUCUAAAACGCAUAGAGAGUAAGGGCUGGGUAAGACGGGUGCCAGCCGCCGCGGUAAUACCUGCAGCUCAAGUGGUGACCACUAUUAUUGGGCCUAAAACGUUCGUAGCCGGUUUGGUAAAUGCCUGGGUAAAUCGUGUAGCUUAACUAUACGAAUUCCGGGUAGACUGCCAAACUUGAGACCGGGAGAAGCUAGAGGUACUCCUGGGGUAGAGGUGAAAUUCUGUAAUCCUGGGGGGACCACCAGUGGCGAAGGCGUCUAGCUAGAACGGGUUUGACGGUGAGGAACGAAGCCCUGGGGCGCAAACCGGAUUAGAUACCCGGGUAGUCCAGGGUGUAAACGCUGCUUGCUUGAUGUUAGUUGGGCUCCGAGCCCAAUUAGUGUCGGAGAGAAGUUGUUAAGCAAGCUGCCUGGGAAGUACGAUCGCAAGAUUGAAACUUAAAG
rnacentral:rRNA from 1 species